UCUCACAGAUAAUCAGUGARAUUGAKCCCYUCGUGCRAAAGCGAGRRUAUAAAUAUAAGACGAGAAGACCCUGUGGRRCUUAAAAUAAAACAUCAACCGACACCCAAUACACCCCAAAUGGGAUACAAACUACUAAAUACCUGAUGUACAUUUUUGGUUGGGGCGACCUCGGAGCANAACAGAACCUCCGAAAAAAGARCACASUSCCUACUUAGACAAACAACUCAAAGUGCCCACAGCAAAAUGAUCCAAUUUAUUUGAUCAACGAACCARGCUACCCCAGGGAUAACAGCGCAAUCCCGUUACRGAGUCCCUAUCGAAGACGGAGUUUACGACCUCGAUGUUGGAUSAGGACAUCCUAAUGGUGCAACAGCURUUAAGGGUUCGUUUGUUCAACGAUUAAAGUCCCACGUGAUCUGAGU
rnacentral:rRNA from 1 species